rnacentral:rRNA from 1 species
AGCGAACGCUGGCGGCAGGCCUAAAACAUGCAAGACGAACGGCUCUUCGGAGCAGUGGCGGACGGGUGAGUAACACGUGGGAACGUGCCCUUUGGUACGGAACAACUGAGGGAAACUUCAGCUAAUACCGUAUGUGCCCCCAUUCUUAGCGGGAUGGGUGGGAAAGAUUUAUCGCCAUUGGAGCGGCCCGCGUUGGAUUAGCUAGUUGGUGGGGUAAAGGCCCACCAAGGCUACGAUCCAUAGCUGGUCUGAGAGGAUGAUCAGCCACACUGGGACCGAGACACGGCCCAGACUCCUACGGGAGGCAGCAGUAGGGAAUCUUGCGCAAUGGGCGAAAGCCUGACGCAGCCAUGCCGCGUGAAUGAUGAAGGUCUCAGGAUUGUAAAAUUCUUUCACCGGGGAAGAUAAUGACGGUACCCGGAGAAGAAGCCCCGGCUAACUUCGUGCCAGCCGCCGCAGUAA